UACGAAGGGGGCUAGCGUUGCUCGGAAUCACUGGGCGUAAAGCGCACGUAGGCGGAUUGCUAAGUCAGGGGUGAAAUCCUGGAGCUCAACUCCAGAACUGCCUUUGAUACUGGCGAUCUUGAGUCCGGGGAGAGGUGAGUGGAACUGCGAGUGUAGAGGUGAAAAUUCGUAGAUAUUUCGCAAAGAAACACCCAGUGGGCGAAGGGCG
rnacentral:rRNA from 1 species